AAUUCAUUUCUACUGCGUAGAUCCUGGGAGACCCAGAACAACUAAUUGGAUAGAGAAUCAUACAGAUACCUUCCCUCAUAUGAUGUAACCAAAACAAUUGAAGGGAGAACAUGAGAAAGGACCAAAAAGAAAUAAUUCCCUGCUAUACCCCCUUUUUACAUACGGCUCCCACAAAAUCAUAUGUACUGGAUUACAAUGGAUUUUAACAAAAAAUGCUUACAUCCUCAGCCUAGGAAUGAGGCAAAAGGAGAGGUUCCAAAGCGAUUAAGCAACCACAGGUCCAAGUCAAUACUCUUCUAGACACCUCAACAAGGAUCACAACCACGAUUUAGUAUCAUCUCUUGCAAGAACUGACAGUGAGCUGCCUUUCGGUUUCUCUGCUAAUUUCAUAAAGCAGGUAAUAAUGUUCCAAUGCAGAAGUUAACUGGUGGUAAAUCAUCUGAUCUUUCCUAGUUGUAGAUUUUUACUGGUUUCUCAAAU
rnacentral:lncRNA from 1 species